rnacentral:misc_RNA from 1 species
CGGUUCGAGUCCCUUACCUCCUCUGAUCACACUCCUAAUGGCGAAAAAAAGGAGAUUAACUUUGUUUUGUGACUUAGAGAUUGUUUUAACUGGAUCAAUAACCUAGCUUCCUAUCAUUCCAGGUCUAAUUAUUAGAUGAGGAGACAGGACGGUGGGCUCACAUAAGUAUUGAAUGAAGAAGUGAUUCAGUA